rnacentral:rRNA from 1 species
GUGUCAGCCGCCGCGGUAAUACGAAUGUGGCGAGCGUUGUUCGGAAUCACUGGGCGUAAAGAGUACGUAGGCGGCUUGAUAAGUCAGGAGUGAAAUCCCAGGGCUCAACCCUGGAAUUGCUCUUGAAACUAUCUCGCUAGAAACACGGAGAGGUUGGCGGAAUUCCAAGUGUAGAGGUGAAAUUCGCAGAUACUUGGAGGAACACCAGUGGCGUAAGCGGCCAACUGGACGUGUAUUGACGCUGAGGUACGAAAGCGUGGGGAUCAAACAGGAUUAGAAACCCUUGUAGUCC